CUUUUCUUCCCUGUGGACUGCCCUGCUCUCUGGUCUUUUCAGUUUGCCUCUUUUUACGGAACUGCGUCCUACAGUGGAGCUGGGCACAGCAACUGGAUCCCAGCCUUCUUAGCCCGCUGUUCUUGGGCUAGAGCCCCAUCCGAUGAGUAGGGACUGGCUGGAGGAAGGGGGCUGUCCGUCAUGCUCACCAGGAAUUUAGCCUCUUCAACUGGGUGCUGGGGUGAGAAAUGCUGGCAUCUGUCCCUCCUGGCCCUCCGACGGUGGCUCCGUGCCCUCAAAAGAAGGAUGAUCCCUUCCUGGUCCCGCCUGACCCGGGGGAGCUCGGCCCCUGCUGUGCUGUCAGCCUCGCCCCGGCCGCCCGCGCUGACCCCCGCCCGGCUCACAGCACCGCUGGCCGCAGCCUCUCACCGAGAGCUCCUGCCCUCAGCCUCCAGCCGGAGAAGGACUCCCCAUCCCAGCAGAGCUCAGCUCAGCGGGCACGCGCACGACGCAGAAAUCCUUGAUUUCUCAGGUUAGGCGACGGCUGAAUUAUAAACACGGGCCUCGCUGGACCACGGACCCGCCAGGUUCUCCCGCAACUUGCGGAGCUCCUGGACCGGCCCUUCCCAGAGGCGCAGCGCUGAGUCCCAGGAGCAGGACCUGAACCAGGAAGGGGAGGGGCGAGCACAGUCCUGCCUCCUCCUCCCCGCACAGUGCUGGGGGAAUGACCCCCACUGCCUUCUUCUCCUCCCCCAACACUGCAGGGGGAAUGACCCCCACUGCCUCCUCCUCCCAACACACUGCAGGGGGAAUGACCCCCACUGUCUUCUCCUCCCAACACACUGCAGGGGGAAUGACCCCCACUGUCUUCUCCUCCCAACACACUGCAGGGGGAAUGACCCCCACUGCCUCCUCCUCCCAACACACUGCAGGGGGAAUGACCCCCACUGUCUUCUCCUCCCCCCACACUGCAGGGGGAAUGACCCCCACUGUCUUCUCCUCCCCCCACACUGCAGGGGGAAUGACCCCCACUGUCUUCUCCUCCCCACACACUGCAGGGGGAAUGACCCCCACUGCCUCCUCCUCCCAACACACUGCAGGGGUAAUGACCCCCACUGCCUCCUCCUUCCCCACACACUGCAGGGGGAAUGACCCCCACUGCCUUCUCCUCCCCCAACACUGCAGGGGGAAUGACCCCCACUGCCUCCUGCUCCCCACACACACACUGCAGGGGGAGUGACCCCCAUAUUUUAAUGCAGUGGUUUCUCUGGUCACUCACGGUCCAGCACUAGCACGCAGCAGUCGGGGAAAUGCUGUGGGUAUGAGACGGCCUGGAUUUUGAAGGCGCUGCAUGAAAAAGAAUGUAGAGAAUCUGAAUGCAUUUUAUGUAUAGAUUGCAUGUUGAAAUGAUGCUGUUGGGAUAUAUUAGGCAAAAUAAAAUAUAUCACAAUUUAUUACA